UGGGGAAAUAUGCACAAUGGGGGGAACCCUGAUGCAGCCAUGCCGCGUGAAUGAAGAAGGCCUUCGGGUUGUAAAGUUCUUUCGGUGACGAGGAAGGUUGGUAGGUUAAUAGCCUAUCAAAUUGACGUUAAUCACAGAAGAAGCACCGGCUAACUCCGUGCCAGCAGCCGCGGUAAUACGGGGGGUGCGAGCGUUAAUCGGAAUAACUGGGCGUAAAGGGCACGCAGGCGGUGACUUAAGUGAGAUGUGAAAGCCCCGAGCUUAACUUGGGAAUUGCAUUUCAUACUGGGUCGCUAGAGUACUUUAGGGAGGGGUAGAAUUCCACGUGUAGCGGUGAAAUGCGUAGAGAUGUGGAGGAAUACCGAAGGCGAAGGCAGCCCCUUGGGAAUGUACUGACGCUCAUGUGCGAAAGCGUGGGGAGCAAACAGGAUUAGAUACCCUGGUAGUCCACGCUGUAAACGAUGUCGAUUUGGGGAUUGGGCUUUGAGCUUGGUGCCCGUAGCUAACGUGAUAAAUCGACCGCCUGGGGAGUACGAAAGGCAAGGUUA
rnacentral:rRNA from 1 species